CCCUUUAGUCAGAGUUCAAAUCAAGAAGUCUCAGAGAGCCUGGCUCCUUUAUGUCCAACAUUGGCGUAGGCAUUCCGGUUAUGUUGGAAUGGUGUUACACUGAAGUGGGUUUCACUGUAUGGACACUGGAGAAAUAGAGAAACCCUUUACAAGUCUAUGGCUUAUUUUAUUUGUUCAGAAUAAAUGUUUCUUUACUAUGUAGGUGACCCAGCUGAAUGGGUGUUCUCCUUAUAAGGUAGUUAAAAUGAAAAUAAAAACCAUGUGGAAAUGAUUGAGAAAAAAAAAAAAAAGAAACACAUUGGUUCCUUUUGCCCAAGAACUGAUUCCUUCAGUGAAGACCCGGGAUGCUAGCUCAGUCAGCCAUGAUCAGAGGACUGGGCAAACACACAAGGCUACCGCCACGUUGUUUUGUGACAGUGCACAGACUGAGCUUGUUGUUUUACACUCUGGCAAGAAUGUUUGGGAGAGACACUCUGGGCAAACUGCUCCCCUGUUCAAGGAUUCAAGGACUAACGAAGAGAUAGUUCACUGUCAGUGUUGGAAGUACAAGGGAGUCAAUGCACUGAUGCCGAGUUGAAGCAAAAGCAUCUGCAGAUAGAGUGAUACAUUCAUUCCAGAGGCCAUGGAGAGGUUAUUGUGAGAGUACUAUAUUACAAGUUUACGUCAGGUAUUUUUUUUUUUUAAGGAAACUGUCUCCUGCCGGCUGGUGCAGGUGUGGAGACACAUGAGUCCUGAAGCAGGAGACCUUUGGGCAGUUGAUGGAUAUAGGGGGUGAUUAUUCACUGGGGCUCAUUGCUUGCAUUUAACCAUGUCUUGCUUUUGGACAUUGUAUGUGUUGGACCACUGUGUUCUUAUUAGCCAUAAUAGGAAUCACCUUUUAUUAUAUGUUAGACUGCUCUGUGAACAUGAUGUGUGUACAGGCUCCAGGUUGUCUGCCCACCAGUGAAUGGGGUCUUGGGUCAAGUCACUCAGAUUCUCACAGGAUUCAUUACUCACCUACCCUGUGGUCUCUCAUGUACACCAUACGCCAGUUGGAGGUAACUAUAUAGCAGGCUUUUGUUUGUAAUGAAGGAGCAGGAAAUCAAAGGUAACAACUACUUCCUGACAAAUUCAGUGCUUUUCUUAUUGAGUAGAUAUUCUUUUGAUACCUUCACAUAGAGGGAAAAACCAGUUUCAACCUCUGUGGGCAAGUAUCAGCUGGGAUGCUAUCUGAAGUGUGGGCCAGUAGAGAGGCCUUGAUUUCACUCAAAUCUUUUGCAGUGUAAGAGAAACCCUCUGUAGGAAAUAGGUGAUUGAAUAUAACCAUUGUCAGAACAUGCAGGAAAUUUUGUUCACAAUCACUGUGGAAAAUGAAGGGCAGUCAAAACUGGAUUCUUUCUUUUUAACUUAAUGCCUAAUAUACCUGAGUUCAGGGCAAACUUGAUAUCACCUUUGUCUGAAUUACAGGUUUGUACUUUCUGUGGUUUGGAUCUGUGUAGAUGGGAGGCAUAGCUGGUAAAGUCUACAUGCCCAGUGUUAAAUGAAAAUACAUUCCAUUCUCACACCCUCUGGAGUCUUGGGGCCAGAAAAUAUUAAAAAAAAAAAAAAAAGAAAAAGAAAAUCUCUGCACAGGGACCUAGUGUGACCAAAGCUUUAUAUUCCAGUGGGAUGGACAGCUAUAUGACCAUAUCAGUGUUGGGCUUGGGUGGAGGAGCGAUACAGAAAACACCUAAAUUUGCACAUACUUUGAGAAAAAGAUCAAAGAGCUGGCUCUCAGAUGGAUAUUUGGUUUAUGUGAAGAACUUUUCCAGGACUUUGAGGUUACUUAUUCAAAAAUUCAAGUGAAGAAAAUAAGAAACCAGCAACUCAGAGAGAUGCAUAAGUGUGCUCAAGAAAUCUGAAUUAAUUGGCACAACAUCUGGUGGGUGAAGAUCUAUAUUCUAACUUCCCAUAAAAGAGAUCUCCUAUUCUGGCAUGUUUAAAGCAUACUUGAGGGAGUACGAACCUUGUUCCUUAGAGAGAAAAGAUGAAAGGGAGAUGGGAGAUAAAGGAGAGAAGAAGGGAAAAGGAAGCUGUAUCAAAAUGUCCUAGAAGCUGAGGAUUCCUAUCCAUAUCCAUCUAUCCUUCUUUACAUCUGUCUGUGGAGGAAAGGGAAUGAGAGAAGAAGGUUUUCUGCCACAUACCAUCCUCUGAAAGUGAUUGGCUUCAUUUUAAUGCCACCUAUAUGGAUAUUUAGAAAGUUCUAUGUGGUCCUUUUGAAGCAGCACUUUAGCUGUCAGGGGUGGGGCAGGGGAAACAAGGUAUUCAGUCUGAAGGCCCAUCUUUAUAACCAGCACCCCCUUUGCUGUCUGUGAAGCUACGAAGAGAAGCAAGAAGUCAAGGGGUAAAAGGAUCCAGCUUUUCCUUCUACGCUAAUGCCUAGAUUGGGGACAUAUUGGGUAAAGCCUGGUGGGGAAAGCUAUCUCGGUCAGUGUUGUAUCCAUUGUAUGGAUGAAUAGAGAGCUUUUGUCUCUUAGGAUGUCAGUCCAGCACCUUCCGUCUGAAUUAAGUUCACUUAAAAACUUAAAGCAAACCACCCCCUACAACUUUUCCUACAUCCCUGAAGGAUUGGGUUACUGUAAUCCAAGUACCUCCAGAUAGAAAAGGCCUUGCAGGUUAUCCAUUCAUCCUCUGUUAGGGCUGGGUUUCUUCCUUCAGCCCAGUUGCUACUGUUGUGCUCUGUCUGGUUUCCAGUGUCCUGAGGGAGGGAGCUUCCCGCCUGUCCCUGGGGAGGCCAUUCUCUAAUCCCAACAGCUCUCUCCGCCAGGAAGUUAUCUCUGAUAGUCAUCUUAAGUUUUCCCUUAUUCACUGGAUCCCAUUACAGCCAGGCACAGCCUUUGCACCAAGCCCGUCUCCCCUCACGGGGGCUACAUGCUGACUCUCAACUCCAUGGCCCACUCCUAUUAAAACCCCUUAUGGAUGGUUCAUUCUACAUGUCCUGCCCUUGGUUUCUAGGGCUGUAAAAGUUGCUCUUGGGGGAACCCCCUCUACCAUAUUUUGUUUUCAUUUUUCUGCAUACAUGAGUACAGAACAAAUGGUGUCAACUUUAAAAUGAAGUUGGGUGUUACUAAUGGUUUGCCUCUUUUUUUUUUUUUUUUUUUUUUUUUGAGACAGUGUCUUGUUAAGUUUCUGAGGCUGACCUUGAAUUUGUAAUCCUCCUGCCUCAGCCUCCCCAGUCACUGAGAUUACAGAGCUAAGACAACUCCAGCAGGAUUACUGAAACAACUUCAGGAUGGUCUCUUUCUCUUCUGCAGACUGAGGAAGAUCAACUAUCCUGAUGUGAACAUGUUAGAUCUUGACCAGUGGCUUUUGUCCACUCACAAGAUGGCCAGGGUCCUCCAUGGAGGACAAGUUCCAGUUGGAAAGAAAGCAGAAGGACCUUUCCUGGAGACCAAGAAUGGACCUCAGGGAUCAGCGACACGUCUACCACUUCUUCAAACACUUCAUGGAGAAAAUCUUUCAGAGUUGUGAUUGUGAGACCCUAGACCUGGAAAAUAACUGUCAUCAAGACCUGUACAUCCAUUAAAGGAAUUCAUUCCAAUGAUGUUGCUUGGCCUCUGGCAUAUAUUUUAUUGUUAGAGAAAAUUUA